rnacentral:rRNA from 1 species
AGCAGCCGCGGUAAUUCCAGCUCCAAUAGCGUAUAUUAAAGUUGUUGCAGUUAAAAAGCUCGUAGUUGAAUUUCGGGGUUAGUAAGUUGGUCAUGCCUCUGGUAUGCACUGGCUUUACUGAUUCCUCCUUCUUGAUGAACUGUAAUGUCAUUAAUUUGGUGUUGCAGGGAAUCAGGACUGUUACUUUGAAAAAUUAGAGUGUUUAAAGCAGGCAUAAGCUUGAAUACAUUAGCAUGGAAUAAUGAAAUAGGACGUUUGAUCCUAUUUUGUUGGUUUCUAGGAUUGACGUAAUGAUUAAUAGGGAUAGUUGGGGGCAUUAGUAUUCAAUUGUCAGAGGUGAAAUUCUUGGAUUUAUUGAAGACUAACUACUGCGAAAGCAUUUUGCCAAGGAUGUUUUCAUUAAUCAAGAACGAAAGUUAGGGGAUCGAAGACGAUCAGAUACCGUAGUAGUCUUAACCAUAAACUAUGCCGACUAGGGAUCGGAUGAUGUUAUUUUUAAUGA